UACGCACGUAAGAAGUUAUACUCCAUUGGCUAGCUAACUUCACGUUGCUAACUUCUUCUUCGUUGACUAGCUAACUUCAGGGUGUCGGUUUUUUGUGACGGUGUGUGGGCGGAACUUAAAAAUGUACUCUCAUUAUUUUUCCAUAACGCGCCAACUGAAGUAUAACUUCAAAAAGAUGGUAGAAACCGCUUGGUAGGGUAACAUGUUAAUAAUAAUUAAAACAAGUUUUAAUAAAAGAAAAUAGUAAUAUUUUAUUAAAAUAUUAUUACACAUAUCUUUACAAACUCUAAAACUAUCAUCACGUUUAUGAUGAAACAAAACAUCAUACUUUGAUUGACUUAGAAGAAAUUAGUACGAAGAAAUUAAAUGUUGAAAAUUUAUUUCUUAGACAUUUUAUAUAGUUUUCUUAGAUAAAAUGACAAAAAUUUGGAAAAUAACAAUAUAUUAUAUAUAAUGAAACAAUUUUUCCGGAUUUUAUCGCGGUUUAUUAAGUUUUUUAGACACCCGUGACCAUGGUUGCUGUAAAGUAUCCGAAACGUCGGGUUUCUCGUAACGCCAUCUAUCGUAAAGACUAAAGGCGACGUUUUCUAAUAACGCCAUCGCGUCGCAACGUAUCAUCGAUAGAUGGCGUUAUUUGAAUUCCCAUUUGAUGUGGUAUUAAUAUUUUUCUUAGACUAGUAAGCCUUUUGUUUCUAUUUAGUCAGUCGAUCUGAAGGAGUGAACUCCACUCCAGUAAAUAUAAGUUAAAUGAAUACAAUUUGAAUUUGUAAAAUGAUGAGUCAGAAGCGUUUUUGAAGUUUCUUGAAUAAAGUUGAUUUGAUUUUGAGUUUUGUUCAGAAAAUUUCUAAGAGAAAUUUCUGUUAAUAUGAGAAGAUCUAUAAUUACACUUGAGUUACAGUUUUAAUACUUAAUUACAAAAAUUAAAUUAUAUUUUGUGAUGUUUAUUUGUGACAAAUGAACAGUUUUUUUACAGCGUAAUAAGAGUUUAUUAAAAAUAAAUAUGACAAUACAAUGACAGUUAUAUUGGCGGGAAUAUAAAUGACAGUUUUAUUUUUAAAAUUUUCAUAUGAUAAAAAUGACAGAUUAUAAUUGAUUAGUUGAAAUGAGUUUGCUUAGAUAAUAAACACAAAUUUAUUACUAAGUGAGAAAAAAUAAACGCAUUUUUUUUAAUGUUGUGUUUUCUGUUAACAGUAUAAUAUACAUUUUAAGGCACUGUAUUUUUUUUUUUUGAGUUUAUAUUAAACAAUUAUUGUUACAUAUUAUGACAUUUAUAAAGUUAAAUUUAUUUAAAAAAAAUAUUAUCAUUCAUAAGAUCUUACUUCAUUAUACUUAUCACAGCGUACUUAUAAAACAGAAUGUUAUAAAAAAUCUCUCUCCAAAUCUAAUAUAAGAACACAAAUUCAUCAAAAACUUAUUUUUAAUAUCACAUUCACUCAAAACGCUCGCACUUGACUAAAAAAAAAAUCUUUAGCAAAGGUUGAUUCUCUUAAACCCGGUAUCUUUAUUUCGAAAACGAACACGACUGUCGAACGGAUCGUAAGUAAUAAAACUAAGCGUUUUCUGAAUAUAGCAACCUUUCCAGCUAUACCCCAGCAAUAUCGAGAUAUAAACUACAUAGUGACAGAAUUAGGAAUUAUUCGUUCUGCAAUGUGCUAACAUUUCGGUAUGGAUGACAAGACUAAGAUUAAUAGUAAGAGAAUCUUAUUACUGUCGAUUCAAUUUUUUAAAAACGAAGUUUAAAUCUUCAAUAUUUAUAAUAAAAAUAAUUUCAUAAAACCACAAUGUAACACAUAGCACUGCCUUUAUUCAUCAAUCAUCCAUCCCAUUCAUUCAUUCGUUCAAUCGUACAUAACUGUCAGUAGAGUAACUGGUCGUACCCCAGUUAUUCAUAAUCCAUACCGUCUUGUGACCUGAAUUUUAUUCCGUACUACAAUUAGACAUCUUAUUUAAUUUAUUGUUUCUGAAUUAAUUGUGAUUUUUUAGUAUUUUGUUCCAUCAUACAAUUAUAUAUUUCAUUCACUCAUUCAUUCACACCUUUAUAGAAACCAGAUCAUAACAAAGUUGUCAAUUUUACCUUUACUUCUUUGUAUGAACGAGAAUAGCAUUAAUUAUUUUUCUUAGUAUAUUCAUAGAAUUCAUUCACACAUUUACAGAAGCCAAUCACAUCGAAGUCACGUGUACUUUGUAUGACCCGAAUUCAUUUUAAUUGUAUACCUUAUUAAAAUUAUAGAUCACAUUCAUUCAUUUGACACCUUAAAAAAACCGGUCAUAUCAAAGUACGUAGCAUACCUGUUAUAUGACCUGAAUUUCAUUCACUCACUCAUUCACACCUUUUGAAAAACCGGUUAUAUCAAAGUAGCUAGCAUGUGUACUUGACCCGAGUUCCAUUUAAUUUUGUUCAAUUACAAUAAACGAAAGAUCGAACGAAAUCAUUCACUCGCGCCACCUAUCGACGUGUAAAUCAGUCAUAUCUAGACUUUCAUCCGACCUAUCUUCCGUUUGUUCAUAGGCAAGCGACCCCUGAUCUUCCUCAAGGGCUUUUUGUAGGAUAGCCUCAAGUUUUGGUUGUACGUCGCCCAAUAGGGCUCGCUGUGAGGGCUCUGUGGCCCAGCAAGACUCCAUAACCUCCCAGCAUUCGUCGGAGAAGUGGGGAAGACGCUCGGGGCGAAGGCCUGAAAAGUAUAUUUAUUGAUUAAUUCAUCCUGUAACAUCCCAAAGCUGGGCAUGGACCUCUUUCUCCGUGGUGAAGGGUUAGAGCUUAAUCCACUAAUCUCAAAAAUACAGUACCUCGUUUUACUUUGCUCCACAGUUGUUCUUUAUUCUGG
rnacentral:misc_RNA from 1 species